rnacentral:rRNA from 1 species
UACGGGGGGAGCAAGCGUUGUUCGGAUUUACUGGGCGUAAAGGGCGCGUAGGCGGUCAGCACAAGUCAGUUGUGAAAUCUCCGAGCUUAACUCGGAAAGGUCAACUGAUACUGUGCGGCUAGAGUGCGGAAGGGGCAACUGGAAUUCUUGGUGUAGCGGUGAAAUGCGUAGAUAUCAAGAGGAACACCUGCGGCGAAGGCGGGUUGCUGGGCCGACACUGACGCUGAGGCGCGAAAGCCAGGGGAGCAAACGGG